UACGGAGGGGGCUAGCGUUGUUCGGAAUUACUGGGCGUAAAGCGCACGUAGGCGGCUUUGCAAGUUAGAGGUGAAAGCCCGGGGCUCAACUCCGGAAUUGCCUUUAAAACUGCAUCGCUAGAAUUGUGGAGAGGUAAGUGGAAUUCCGAGUGUAGAGGUGAAAUUCGUAGAUAUUCGCAAGAACACCAGUGGCGAAGGCGGCUUACUGGUCCGGUUCUGACGCUGAGACGCGAAAGCGUGGGGAGCAAACAGG
rnacentral:rRNA from 1 species